GAUGAAGAACGCAGCGAAAUGCGAUAAGUAGUGUGAAUUGCAGAAUUCAGUGAAUCAUCGAAUCUUUGAACGCACAUUGCGCCCUUUGGUAUUCCUUAGGGCAUGCCUGUUCGAGCGUCAUUUAAACCUUCAAGCUAAGCUUGGUGUUGGGUGACUGUCCGCUUCACGGCGGACUCGCCUCAAAAUUAUUGGCGGCCGGUACAUUGGCUUCGAGCGCAGCAGAAACGCGAACUCGGGCCCGUCGUAUUGGCUCCCAGAAGCUAUCUUCACAAUUUUGACCUCGGAUCAGGUAGGGAUACCCGCUGAACUUACGCAUAUCAAUAAGCGGAGGA
rnacentral:misc_RNA from 1 species